CAUCGUGGAGAUCUGCUAUUGGAAAAGUUCGGCCACUGAUGAACUGACGAAGUUCUGGAAGAAAUUCGGAUCGGAAUCGAUCAAAUCCUGUUGGAAAAGAUCUGGAAGAGGUCCGGAGAAUGAUUGACCCUUGUAGGAGGUCGGCCGAUAGUAGAAUCCAGAGAGCACUUGGGGCAGCCUGAUAGACGGCCGAAGAAGCUUAUCGCUAGAGAAGCCCGGAAGAUGCGGUAGGAGUUCGUCCAUCGUGGGAAUCCGAUCGGCACUUGUUGAAGAAGCUACGGG
rnacentral:lncRNA from 1 species